CCGCGCCUGUCAUGCUGUCAACAUUCCCUCACAAGCGCACCAGCUCUGGAGCCCUGAUUGAUCCCAUAUGUCUGGCAAAGAGCUGCGGAGGAAUUCGCUGGAGAUGGAUCCAGAUACCGAGAGUGCCACAGUGAGAAUCUGCUUGACAUAGAUGUGUUUUGGAACACCAGCUGCUGCUUGAGGUGGUUAUUCUAAAGCAAGACACCAAAUGGGUACAAGUGUGAAGAGUCCCACGAUUUGAUCAGCAGAAAUGGAGCCUCACACCCUGUCUGCUCACUGGGACCCAUGCCUGAGCAAUGCCGCACUUCCUCAGAUAACUAGGUCUCUGGUUUCCACUGAAUAAGACUUUGCUUUUGAUGAACCCUAGAGAAAGCAAUCAAGCAACUUCCAAUCUGACCAACAUAUAGUCUACUCCAUACAACAGUACCCAGUCCGCUUUUGGAAAUUAGCACCCAGCCAGUACCGGCUCAUGAGGAUUCUAACAGCUGUUGGGACCACUCCUGAAGCCCCUCUCCUAGCCUAUUAUAUGUAGGCAUGAACUGCUUACUUUCUAUGGCAAAAUACAUGGAAUUAAAGUCGGACACACUAUUUUUAAAGAAAUGUGGUCCCAAGAAAUGCCUUCCAUAGGACACACUCAUCAUCCCUUUGUCUUGCAAGUGAGUGACUGAACUCUAUACUGGUCGUCUUGAUGGUCUACUGACGCAAUAUCACAUAGACUAUUUAUCUGCCUCUCUUUAAGUAAAAGGUAACUUGAUCUCUAAAUUGUGGUCAGGAAACCAGAUUUCAGUUUUUUUACUGUGCUGUUAGGGUUUCUCCUGUGUGUGAACCUCCGGAAGUCAACCAGAAACCUGGGUAGAAUUCUGAAAAGUCAUUAAGUAAUUAGAAACCACAUUAUCUUUUUCCAAGCAGCUCAGGAGUGAACUAAUGAGUCUCCAAGCCCUGUGCUCCCAGGAUCUCCCCUAAAAUUCUCAUUCUCAUUUUUCUUUAAUAGCAUUUAAAAUUACAUUUAGGUGUGUGUGUGUGUGUGUGUGUGUGUGUGUGUGUGUGUGUGUGUGUAUACCUGUUUAUGGAGGUCAGAGCACAACUUUUGGGGAGUCAGUUCACUCGUUCUACUAUGUAGGUCUUGAAUCCAGCUCAAGUUGUCAGGCUUGAUGACAGGUGUCUUCACCCACUGAGCCAUCUUGCUGGCCUUACUUUCUAUUUUCUGAGGAUCAGGUUACUAGUCUUCUGUUCAGAAGUUAGGACCUGAGAUUCCCUGCCAUCCUGAAUGUUUCUGUGAAUGUGCUUACAUCUGGGCCAAAUUGUAGAAGGACUCAGAGGUUUUGCCCAUCUUAGGAUUUCUCCACUAAGAAGGUUCUUCCUCCAAGUUUUGGUUCCUGUAGGGUCCUCUUGCAAUUAGCCUCUUCCCUGGCUACCUUUGAAGGGGUCGCCUGGAGGGUGAAAAAUGAAAAAAAAAAAAAAAAAAAAA